rnacentral:tRNA from 1 species
GUUUUAAUAUUUUAAUAAAAAUAUUGGUUUUGUAAACCAAAGAUGAUAACCAAUUCUUAAAACU